AUUCUCUUUAUUUCUCUUCAUAUUCAUCAGCUGAAAAACAGCCAUGGAGGAGGGUUCAAGCUGUUUUUCAUACUCUAGCUUCAUGUUAUCAGAAGCUCGAUCGGUUGGAAGCUUAUGGGAGAACUAUCACAUUAUCCAUCAACUAUUUCGGUAGAUUUUGUGUAUUUUUGCCAAGGUUAAUAAUAACAUGUAUAGGAUCUUUGUAAUGUAUUUUUUGGUAUGUUUAAGCUUUUGAAAUUGUGUUGGUUUGGUGCACUUGGUGCCUUACCAAAUUAUGUCAUUUUGCUCACUUUCAAGUCCUUGCAUUUAAAGUCUUUGUUGGUGUGUUUGUAGUGUUAUGUAAAUAAUCAAAUGUAAUGUUAUGUGGUAGCUAAGGAAUUAAACUUUUAUACUUGCAAUAUGGCAAUAUUGGCAUUUUUAGGUAAUUGAAGUUUUGAUACAAUUGUGGUGUC